UUGGCCAGACCAGUCCACAGCUCUUUCUCUGUCCACAGUCACUGCUGCGAGGAAAGAGCCCUGGCGUGGUCAGCACGGGAGGUACUGAGACACCGCCUCAGGCAGGGUGGCCACCUGGCCCCUUCCUAAGACAAUGCAAGACUGCUGGGAGGACUCCUUCAUAGUGCCUCAGAGGAGGGUCUGCCCAGGUCCUGCUGGCGGCUCACGCGCCGAGGCUCUUAGGAAGAGCCACUUCCGCUCCUGCCCGAGAACUGCUGUCCAGCUGGGAUCUCACGGCUGGUCCGCCAGCUGGCCUGUCCACGUGACCUGGAAGCAAGCUACCAAGCAACAGCACUCGGGGUGGAGGACAGGAGUGACACCUCUCCUGGGAGGCCUUGCGUGGAUGAAGACAGCCCAGCCCAGCAUGGAGGCCGGGAAGGCGGGCCUGGAGUCCGUCACUCAUUCCUGAAAUGACCAGAAGGCGGUUCGAGGGACCUCCAGGUGCUGAGCUGCUGCUGACAAAGCACGGGUGGGGGUGGGAGAGAGGCGAAGAGGGGGAAGGCAGGGGACCCACACCAGUUUCAAAGGCAGUGAGCCACUGCAGGGGCCAGGCGCUUGGCUGGCUCCACACGCCAUGCGCUGGCCCCAACCCACCUGGCUCAGGCCUCUCUCCUCUGCUUUCCUGAAGGCUGUGCUUGGGUUUUCAGGGCCUGCUCCCGUCCUACGAUGACACCAUCUCUUGGGCCCUCACAAGAGCGGACUCCCCUGGCCCUGGGGCGCAGGGCCCUUCCCCACUUGGCUCACCAAGUCCAAAGGCCUGGGCCCCACUGUCCAGGGCUUCCUUCCCCAGCCAGCCAUCCGCCUACCCGUCCCUGCUUUCAGGACUUUGGGGCCUGUGCCCUGAGGCAGGAGACUAGGGCACUGCAGGCUGGCUGAAAAUAGGUUUCGGAUGUAACCCAAGCCUGACUGGAGACUGAUCAACAGGAUGUGAUGUGUAGCAUCACAGCCAGGCUGCGUGGGCAGAGCAGCUUCCUCCCAGUCAGAGUCUGGGGAGGAUCCGAAAGACAGUGGCCACUGACCGCUGCCUCUGAGACCCUGCUGUCCCGAUGCUUCCUGUUUUUGCAGUGGCCAUCCUGCACCCGGUCCGUAUCUCUUCUUGCUGUUCUCUUCUGCACUUUCCCUUUCUUUCUCUACCUUAAAUGAAAGUUGUGUCCACCCAUUCAUCUGCUGUCCCUGCCAAUUCUUUGGGCAGGACAGGAAGAGCCUGGGGUCCCCAGGACCUGGCACCAUCCAGCCGCAGCCUGGGACCCAGCAGCUCAUUCCCAGCUGCUGUCUGUGCCUGAUAUCCCUGGACUUCGCACACAGCAGGAGGAGGGGCCCUCUGACCAGGGGCCGUGUCCCUCCCAGCCCAGGCCUCCCGGAGGCCCAUCUGUGUCAGUUUCCCAGGGUGGUGGUCACAGAUGACAGCAGAGCUGUCUUCUCGCACAGUUCUGCAAGGCAAGGCUGAAAUGGAGUGGCGGCAGGGCCCCGUCCCGACCCCCCUGCCUUCCCCAGCCCCUGACCCCUGGCCACUGCAGUCUUUGCCUCUGGCUUUCCUGGUCUCCCCUCUUUCCCCACGUCUGUCCUCUGCAUGUCACUGCAAAAGCCCUUGUGUUGGAUGAUCGGCUGAGCGCAUCUCGAGGCUCCCUGGGGUGACUGCACUUGCAAUUUCACACACUGGUAGGCUCCUCGGAUAGGACUCCAGCACAGGCUCUUGGGGCCACCACUCGACCCCGACAGCAUCUCCUGAGACACUCCCAGGUCACGGCAUGGCUGCCGCCAUCCUGCCUCCCCCCGCCGUCCCUCUGGCUCACGGGGUGCUCCAGCCCCGGGGCUUCCUGACACUCUUCAGGGCCGGUCACCGGUCUGGCACCAGGGGAGGCCUCCUCCCACCGCGUCAGAGUGCACCUCAAACACUCCUCUCCAUGCUCCAUCUGCCCCUGAUCACCACCGCGGAGCCAGUCACCGCUUCAUCUUGUUCUCCUCCCCCCUGCAGCAGAAGCCAGGGAAGUUUGUAAGUUCUGCCUUGUUCUUGUGGUGCUGGGGAUUGAACCCAGGGGCACUGAGCUACAGCCCCAGCUCUUUGGUUAAGUUUUUACUUUGAGAUGGGGUCUUGCUAAGUCGCCCACGCUGGCCUCUGACUGCAGCCUCCUGAGUAGCUGGGAUGGCAGGUGUGCGCCUGCCUCACCCGGCUAAAUCCCACUGCUGUGUCCCAGCAGCCAGUAUAAUGCCUGGCACUGGCUGGCUGUGGCUGAGUGGAUGAAUAAGCAAGCCUUUGCCAGAGCUGAACUCUCAGCUGCCAGGAGUCCACGGCCACCUGAAGAUCACCACAGCUCCCUGCAGGCCUCCGCUACCCUUGGACUCUCUGGGGGCUCCAAUCCCGGCGUGGCCGCCUUUUCAAGUGCACGAGUCCGGAGAGGGGCCAUGUGGGUCUAGAACAUGCUUCCUCACGCACAGCACAAAGCAGCUGUGGGCCUUGACCCUUCAGCGCCCCUCCUUCCUGGCCCGGCCCAGGAUGUGUCACCCCUCUGCUGAUGGCUGGCUCCAAGUGCUGGAAUCCCGCUUCCUCCCCUCUACACCCGGGCAUCCUGACCAUGAAGACAGCUGUGCUGCGGCAGCGGAGCACUGGUCAGACGGUGUCUGAUGCUUGAGCCAGGCUUCUGGGGAAAGCAGGGCCCUGUGCCCCCCAAGUGAGGUCUGCUGUGGGUGUGCAGGUGACUGAGGCCCCGGGGGCUGAGGCUGGGUGAGCUGCUCGGGAGAGUGCUUUGGCCACAGAGCUAGGUGAGUCUGUGGGUUUGGGAGGCAGAGAAAAGGCCCUGGGGCAGGAGGCCCAAGUGGCGGCUGUGUUUGGAGCACUCUGAGGCCAGUGUGGGCUGUAGGCUAGGAAGGCCGUGCCGGCCCAGCGGGAAAGGGGGGUCCCCGGGCUGAGGCCCAGGUCGCUACUCUGCAUCCUGCAAGGCUGUGGCCCUUGGCAGCGGAGGCUGGUCCCCGGCAGGGUCUGGAUGAGAAGGCCACGCUUCACCAGGGAUGGUUGGAAGUGAGGCCUCCUGUCCUCAUCCUGUCAGGCUAUAAAAACCGAAACGCCACACGCCCGAGGAGGCCUAACAACAACAGAAAUGAUCUGAGUUCCAGAGGCAGGAGGCCCAAGACCAAGGGCCUGCAGAUUCCUCGCG
rnacentral:lncRNA from 1 species